CAUCCUUGCCUUUUUCCUCUUUCGUCAGAACCUUCCCCCAAAACACCAUACGCUGCCAUUCUUUAAUCUUACUCUUAUCCUCAAACAUCAAUUUAGAUUUAUUGAUAUUCUUUCUUCUUCUUGUGUUGUGAGUUUUUUAGAGUUUGAAUACAUCAACAAUUUCAAAGAAUAAUUUAAAAUUCAUAUUAUUCUUGCUGGAAAAAAUGGAGUUUCGCCGGAAAUAAUGAACACUAAAAUGAACAAGGGAUAAAUACGUUUGGUGGCAGCAGCGAUGACAUUUUUUCCGACGAAAAACUUAAGGUGGCAGAUUUGAAUGUGUGGUUUGGUUGUUUGAAAGGCUAAGGCCGUUUGACGAUGGUAGACUUGUGGAUGGUAACAACCGAUUUGGUGGAAAAAAUAAUUGUGAGUGGUGAUGGCUACAAAUUGCAAUGGAAAAAUGGUGAUAGGAGCUUUCUGUCAAAGAAGAAGAUAUAAAAUCUUUUCUUUUUUUGCUAACAAAUUAUCCUUUUCACGCUCCUCUCUGUGUGUAUUACACACACUUUGCCAUGUCAGCAAAAAGGGUUUAAUAGGUACAAAUUUCUUACUGUGUAGGUGUUCAAUAGGUAGAAGUUUUAGUUGAGGUGUUCAAGGGAAAUACGAGGACAACUUUAAGUGGCUAUCAAUGACUUAAACCAAAUUCUUUUGUAUGCAUCCUUUGGUUUGGUGUACUAAAAAUGGCAUGCAUUGUAUAAUUUUUUUUUAAAAAAAACAUUAUUUUCUAGGGAUCAAUGAAAUUCUCAUGAUUAAGCGAGUUUCAA